GAUCCUGGCUCAGAACGAACGCUGGCGGCGUGCCUAACACAUGCAAGUCGUGCGAGAAAAGGGACUUCGGUCCCCGAGUAAAGCGGCGCAAGGGUGAGUAACGCGUGGGUAAUCUGCCCAAGAGAUCGGGACAACCUGGCGAAAGCCGGGCUAAUACCGGAUAAGCCCACGGGGGCUGCGGCCCCUGAGGGAAAAGGGUGCCCUCUCCAUGGAAGGUACCGCUCCUGGAUGAGCCCGCGUCCGAUUAGCUAGUUGGUGAGGUAACGGCUCACCAAGGCUGAGAUCGGUAGCUGGUCUGAGAGGACGAUCAGCCACACUGGGACUGAGACACGGCCCAGACUCCUACGGGAGGCAGCAGUGGGGAAUAUUGCGCAAUGGGGGAAACCCUGACGCAGCAACGCCGCGUGGGUGAUGAAGGCCUUCGGGUCGUAAAGCCCUGUCGGGUGGGACGAAUCGAUCGCGGGUGAACAAUCCGCGGUCCUGACGGUACCACUAAAGGAAGCACCGGCUAACUCCGUGCCAGCAGCCGCGGUAA
rnacentral:rRNA from 1 species